UGGCCUGAGAAGGGCAGUGUGAGAGAAGAGAGAGAGAACAUGAGAAAGCAAGCUGCCAGGUCUAGGACUCAACCAUGGUCGGCCAUGUG
rnacentral:miRNA from 1 species